GGCUACAGAGGAAGUUACGCAGCCCUGAUCAUGCCAUGAGAUAAAAGCUGUGCUGGUGAUUGAAAGUGAUGGCUAAAGGAUUUAGCUUCAGUAUUAAGUUGGAGAGGUAGGGAGCAGAGGGGAGAGAUCUCAUAAAGCCUCCUGCCAUCUGCCCUGCUGUUCCAAGGGGGGGAGAUUGAUGCUUCUGAACGAGAAGAGGACAAGAAAAAAAGGAGAAAAGGAGUUCAGGCAGGGGCUAUUGCCUGCUUUUUAAGAAAGAAGAAACUUUGCUCCUUCCUACAGCCUGGUGCAGAGCAAUGGGGUGUUAGAUGCCCCUCUCCACCCCCUCCAUCAUCUCAUCCACAGCUUGCAGGACAUCUCAGUGUUACUGUAUCACUCAAGGAAGGGGAUUCCAAACUCACAACACUGGAAAUCAUUGCUUGGAGAAGACAAGGAGGAUCUGACUGCAGGGAUCUUAAGAGCUGGAUCAGCCAGGGAAGCACUGAAAUCCGGCAUCGUUGGUUGAAGGCAUCUCGCUUCAAAAAAACAA